rnacentral:rRNA from 1 species
UGUAAGCGUAUACCAAAGUUGUUGCAGUUAAAACGCUCGUAGUCGGAAUUUGGCAGUUCCGGAUGUGUGCACGUCGUGUGCGCACUUCGCGGGGAUUGCUUUUGUGGUCUUGCGUAGGAUGAGGCACUUUUAUUAGUGAACGUCCUCACGCAACCACUUUUUACUGCGAGAAAAUCAGAGUGCUCAAAGCAGGCAUUUGCCGUGAAUGUAUUAGCAUGGAAUAAUAGAAUAGGACUUGGUUCUAUUUUGUUGGUUUGUUGGGACUGAGUAAUGAUUAAGAGGGACAGUUGGGGGCAUUUGUAUUUCGGUGCUAGAGGUGAAAUUCUUAGAUUACCGAAAGACAAACUGCCGCGAAAGCGUCUGCCAAGGAUGUUUUCAUUGA